CAGAAGCUUUGAAGUCCACAUACACGUACGUCGUAAGAAGCAGAAAUAUUUCUAAGACAUAUUUUAUUGCACAAGCUCUGAUAGAAGGCAUGGCGAACGUUUUCUUCACGGCUACCUUGGGAUUGGUAUUGUUUUGUUUUCAAGACAUUGCUCAUGGAGUGGGACCCAAUCCCUGCUUCCAAAGUUCCUGUUACAUUAUUUCUGAUGCGGAAUCACCGGGAACAUGGACCGCGAACCGAGAAACCUGCCAAGGAUAGGGAGGUGACCUGGUUUCCAUUGAGACCGAAGCCGAAUGGAGUUUCCUCAAUGAUGAACUUCAAAAGCGUUGCAUUGGGCAGCCUAACGAAUGGCACAUUGGCCUGAAUAAAGUGGGUGGAGUCUGGAAGUGGGUGAAUAAUAGCCCCCUGACAAUAGAGAAAUGGCAAACGACCCAUGGCGAGCCUUCUGGUGAUGGAAAUAAAGCGGUGAUGUCAAAGGAUUACCCACCAACAAAGAAAGGGCUGUUUAAUGAUCUCCCAAACUGGAUCAAAAGAGCUUACAUUUGUGAAAUACCCAGAGAUUCCUCAUGAAAUUGGCAAACAUAUGGUAGCUCAGAGCAUGAUGGAGAUCUCUUUUGAUUCUGACUACUCACUUCAAAUCUGUCUCAUUUUCUAAUGAACAACAAAAGUGGA